rnacentral:rRNA from 1 species
GACGAACGCUGGCGGCGUGCUUAGCACAUGCAAGUCGAACGGAAAGGCCCUGCUUUUGUGGGGUGCUCGUGUGGCGAACGGGUGAGUAACACGUGAGAAACCUGCCCUUGACUUUGGGAUAACUUCAGGAAACUGGGGAUAAUACCGGAUAGGAGCUCCUGCUGCAUGGUGGGGGUUGGAAAGUUUCGGCGGUUGGGGAUGGACUCGCGGCUUAUCAGCUUGUUGGUGGGGUAGUGGCUUACCAAGGCUUUGACGGGUAGCCGGCCUGAGAGGGUGACCGGCCACAUUGGGACUGAGAUACGGCCCAGACUCCUACGGGAGGCAGCAGUGGGGAAUAUUGCACAAUGGGCGGAAGCCUGAUGCAGCAACGCCGCGUGCGGGAUGACGGCCUUCGGGUUGUAAACCGCUUUCGCCUGUGACGAAGCGUGAGUGACGGUAAUGGGUAAAGAAGCACCGGCUAACUACGUG